rnacentral:rRNA from 1 species
GACGAACGCUGGCGGCGUGCUUAACACAUGCAAGUCGAACGGAGUGGAGAACGGGUGAGUAACACGUGGGUGAUCUGCCUUGCACUUCGGGAUAAGCUUGGGAAACUGGGUCUAAUACCGGAUCGUUCCAGCUGAGCUAGCGGCCUUUCAGCUUGUUUGUUGGGUAAUGGCCUACCAAGGCUUCGACGGGUAGCCGGCCUGAGAGGGUGUACGGCCAAAUUGGGACUGAGAUACUGCCCAGACUCCUACGGGAGGCAGCAGUGGGGAAUAUUGCACAAUGGGCGGAAGCCUGAUGCAGCGACGCCGCGUGGGGGAUGAAGGCCUUCGGGUUGUAAACUCCUUUCGACAGGGACGCGGUACCUGUAUAAGAAGCACCGGCUAACUACGUGCCAGCCGCCGCGGUAAUUC